GUCCACGCCCUAAACGAUGUCAACUAGGUGUUGGGUGGGUAAAACCAUUUAGUACCGGAGCUAACGCGUGAAGUUGACCGCCUGGGGAGUACGGCCGCAAGGUUAAAAACUCAAAAGGAAUUGACGGGGACCCGCACAAGCGGUGGAUGAUGUGGAUUAAUUCGAUGCAACGCGAAAAACCUUACCUACCCUUGACAUGUCCAGAAGCCCUUAGAGAUUUGGGUGUGCCCGAAAGGGAGCUGGAACACAGGUGCUGCAUGGCUGUCGU
rnacentral:rRNA from 1 species